AUUGAACGCUGGCGGAAUGCUUUACACAUGCAAGUCGAGCGGCAGCGCGGGGGCAACCCUGGCGGCGAGCGGCGAACGGGUGAGUAACACAUCAGAACGUACCCUAUCGUGGGGGAUAACGAAUCGAAAGAUUCGCUAAUACCGCAUACGACCUGAGGGUGAAAGCGGGGGAUCGCAAGACCUCGCGCGAUUGGAGCGGCCGAUGUCGGAUUAGCUAGUUGGUAGGGUAAAGGCCUACCAAGGCGACGAUCCGUAGCUGGUCUGAGAGGACGACCAGCCCCACUGGAACUGAGACACGGUCCAGACUCCUACGGGAGGCAGCAGUGGGGAAUUUUGGACAAUGGGGGCAACCCUGAUCCAGCCAUUCCGCGUGAGUGAAGAAGGCCUUCGGGUUGUAAAGCUCUUUCGGCAGGAACGAAAAGGCGGGCUCUAACAUAGCCUGUCAAUGACGGUACCUGAAGAAGAAGCACCGGCUAACUACGUGCCAGCAGCCGCCGUAAAAC
rnacentral:rRNA from 1 species